UAAGUGUGAAGCGGAGACAGGGAGCAAGGUGAUAAGAGUUGAGCAAAUGUUUGAAUUUAUCCUUGAGUAUCCAGGCACCUUUUCCGUGAACCUAAUUAAUCAGGUGAACUUUGGUCUUCAGUGAUAUCACACCUUCUUUGUAUCUUUUUAAUGUAAUUGGUUAACCAUAUACAAAUAUGUAUGUAACCAGAAUCUCCUUUUCUACUCAUAUGUCCCUAUUCUAUGUAAGCAUGUUUUAACAAUCACAAGGUGCAACUCCUUUUUGUUUUUGCAUAUGAGUUGUCCAAGUACACUGGCUUAAUAAGCAGUUUUACCUUGAUUUUCUAUUUUGGUCCUGCUUGAUUCUUUCACAUAUAUUAUUCUAGUGUACAGAUACAACAUGCAUCCACACUGUAGAAGACGAAAAGGAAGGAAAAGCACAUGGUGUUCCAUGAGAAGACGAUUAUGCCGGUGCAUAGGGGUCUACUCCAAGAAAUCAAGAGCUUGAAAGGCGGCUGGGCCAAGGAACAAGAAGACAAAAUGGCGUCUUGUUCUGAAAACCUGCCUAACUCGCCUCCUCUCUCUGAAGCUGUAACUGAAUCACGUGCAUGAGAUCAGGCCUCUGAAUGCCCUAAUAGGCCUCAACUUUCACUUAUUGAGGAAAUUCGGGCUGCAAUUAAACAGGAAUUCGGUAAAGCCUUCUCUAAAAUUGAUCAACGCCUAGAAUUGCUUUCUUCGGGGCUCUCUGGAGCCCGUGAGACUGCUUCGGCUGCUUUCAACCACACUACAGAGUUAAGAUUUGAUGUUGAUUUAAAAAGGUGAGGAUUUUAAAAGAGCAAGUACUGGACCUCCAAUCUCACUCAAAGUGUAAUAAUUUUCAGGUUCAUGGUGUCCCUGAGGGAGC
rnacentral:lncRNA from 1 species